rnacentral:rRNA from 1 species
UACGUAGGGGGCAAGCGUUGUCCGUAUUCAUUGGGCGUAAAGGGUGCGUAGGCGGCGCGGUAAGUCGGGUGUGAAAUCUCGGGGCUUAACUCCGAAACUGCAUUCGAUACUGCCGUGCUUGAGGACUGGAGAGGAGACUGGAAUUUACGGUGUAGCGGUGAAAUGCGUAGAUAUCGUAAGGAAGACCAGUGGCGAAGGCGGGUCUCUGGACAGUUCCUGACGCUGAGGCACGAAGGUCAGGGGAGCAAACGGG